CAGGAGUCAACGCCUUUCAAGUUGGCCUUUCCGGGAAGAAUCCCUUGCCCUGUUUUCUCCUCCCUUCAUCUGUUCUGUCAUAAAGCCAUUUGUGAACUUCCUUCUUGCAUCACUGAAGCAACGCGUCGCCGCUCCUCGCAGUUUACGUCAUUACUGCUCAAAUCUGGCUUAUGUCAGUACAUCUCAAGGAGGAGAUAAGGAUAAGUCCAAUAAUCCUAACAGUAGCCAUAAAGAAGCCCACAGCACUACUGCCAAAAAUAGUGCUAAAGAAAUAUUUGGUCAAGAAUGAAGAACAGCCACAAGGACGAAGAGCAAGACCCUAAAGAAGAACCACUCAACCACCAAGAAAAAGAAAUUCACCAAGAACUGGAAAAAGAACCCAUGUUCGAGAAAACGUUAACCCCAAGUGACGUUGGGAAGCUAAACCGUUUAGUAAUACCAAAACAGUAUGCAGAUAAAUGUUUCCCACUCCUCGAUGACUCGGUUGAUAAAAUGUUAACUUUCGAGGACGAGUUAGGCAAGAGUUGGAGGUUCAGGUAUUGUUAUUGGAACAAAAGCCAAAGCUAUGUAUUGACAAAAGGGUGGAUGAGGUUUGUGAAGAAGAAACAACUCAAAGCAGGAGAUAUCAUUUUGUUUGAGCAACACCCAACGGACAGUGAGAGGUUGUUUAUAGGUUGGAGGAAGAAUGGGGACAACAGCAGCAGUGAAGUGGUGGUGCUAGGUAGCGGAUUGUAUCAUUCAUUUGGGCACCAACCUAAUGAACGUGGCCAUGGGGCUAAUGUUACUACUAGUGUCACAUCUCAACCUGAGUAUCUUCAUGAAGGUGUCAAGAAUGUGACGGUAGACAUAAAUUCGGAACAGUUGACAGUGAUAGGUGAGGUGAAUCCUUUGCAGAUUGAGAUUCGAGAAGAGGUUCCCUGGAAGAUUUCUCGCAUCAAUAGAGGUCAACGUUGCAUAUCAGAUCUCAGAGCAAAAAAGGAGACAAUAGAGUGGGCAUUAUUAAUUACAAGCUUGCUUCUGGAGGGUUUAUCUGCAAUUUUUGACCAAUUGGGUUAUGCGUUAAUGGGUAUGGUGAUGGCAUUUGUGGCUUUACUCCUUUCAACUAUGGAGCUCAUUGGAAAGGCCAGAAAUGAAAGGGUCAGGUGGGAACGGAGGAGCCCCUUACCUAAUUUUUAUACUCAAAAUUCAACUGAUAAUUCCCCAAAUGGUGAGCUUUUUGGCAGCCUUGUUGAGUAUUUUGGAUUAUCUGGUGCUGUCUGGCAAUGCCUUUACUCAUCAAUGCAGUAUAUAUAUGCUCGUCGGAAUUUAGAUAAUCCUAUCAAAAUGUGUCUUCUACCUUUUAUUUUUGUGUUUUGUGUGCUUAUUUCCAAGUUGGUUAGAGGUUGAUACGUAAGCUUGUAUGUUUAGAAUAACCAGGGAGUGGUUUCAAUUAAAAAAGUUGAAAGCAAUACACAAGUUAAUUACCUCAUCAACACAAGACUUCAACUAAUUUGAAAUUA
rnacentral:misc_RNA from 1 species